rnacentral:lncRNA from 1 species
AUAAACAUCUGGCGCAAGAGAGGGUGCAGCAAAAGAGUCAACAGGGAUUGCAACCAAAUCUUUAAUAUUAAGAGUAAGGCUACGACCAAAAUCAAAUGGAAAGUCAAUGGUAUAGACGUCAGUGCCAUCCUUGUGCAACACCCUGAAUGGUCCAAUACUAAGAGACUGUAAUUCCUUAAGAUGGAUCAUUACGCAACCCCAAGUUUGAAAUUCUUUAGCAUGAAAAUCAGCUUGCAUCUUAUAUUGAGCAGUACAUGCAUGGAUGCCCUUAUGGAUUUCCUGAUGCAACUUAUGAAUGUGUUGUGCAAAUGCAUAUGCAGGCUCAGAAAUCCUAACAUCAGUUUCGAUGAGUUAUGCGAGGGCAUAUCCAACUAUACUCAUGGUGGACUGGUCAGACUCGCUAUCUGACUGUGCAAGCGAGCUAGGUGUAGUGUGGGUGCAUCCUAGGAUUUCAGGUUUGUCAUCACACUCUUCCUCAAUGUCUUGAAUGUCAUUGAGGUUUGGUUCAUAGAUUUGCUCCUCUAAGUCAUCUAUGUCACCUCCCUGCUCUUGCUGAGCAAUGACGAAAAAUUUGUUAGCACAUUGGGAGGUAACGUGACCAAAACCUUGGCAUUUGUAAUACCGAAUUUUGGAAUGUGGUUUGGGAGGCUUACCAAGGAUUCCCUUGCCAUUAGUGUCUCGGCCUGAGACAUGAGCAGUAGAAGGGGGCCUAGGAGUAGUGGACCCUACAGAAGGUUUGGGCCCUGAAGAAUUAGGGCCCGUGGAAGUACUCCGUGUGUUAGGGCACCUUACAAAUGUGGAUUUAGUGUUCCAUCAAUUAAGGAGAUCAUCUUGGUGGUUACGAGGUAGGUAUUUUUCCUUAAGUCUCUCUUUCAUCUCUACCUAAUCAGUUAUUACAUAUUGAUAUCUCCUAGCUAACAGAUGUUCAGUGUUUUGCUAGAAAAGCUUAGCUCGACCAAUGAGCCUCAUUCUGGCAAACCAGACCUUCUUGUUCUCAAACAAAUUGUACCACUCAAA